GGGUUGUGAGGUUAAGCGACUAAGCGUACACGGUGGAUGCCCUGGCAGUCAGAGGCGAUGAAGGACGUGCUAAUCUGCGAUAAGCGUCGGUAAGGUGAUAUGAACCGUUAUAACCGGCGAUUUCCGAAUGGGGAAACCCAGUGUGUUUCGACACACUAUCAUUAACUGAAUCCAUAGGUUAAUGAGGCGAACCGGGGGAACUGAAACAUCUAAGUACCCCGAGGAAAAGAAAUCAACCGAGAUUCCCCCAGUAGCGGCGAGCGAACGGGGAGCAGCCCAGAGCCUGAAUCAGUGUGUGUGUUAGUGGAAGCGUCUGGAAAGGCGCGCGAUACAGGGUGACAGCCCCGUACACAAAAAUGCACAUGCUGUGAGCUCGAUGAGUAGGGCGGGACACGUGGUAUCCUGUCUGAAUAUGGGGGGACCAUCCUCCAAGGCUAAAUACUCCUGACUGACCGAUAGUGAACCAGUACCGUGAGGGAAAGGCGAAAAGAACCCCGGCGAGGGGAGUGAAAAAGAACCUGAAACCGUGUACGUACAAGCAGUGGGAGCACGCUUAGGCGUGUGACUGCGUACCUUUUGUAUAAUGGGUCAGCGACUUAUAUUCUGUAGCAAGGUUAACCGAAUAGGGGAGCCGAAGGGAAACCGAGUCUUAACUGGGCGUUAAGUUGCAGGGUAUAGACCCGAAACCCGGUGAUCUAGCCAUGGGCAGGUUGAAGGUUGGGUAACACUAACUGGAGGACCGAACCGACUAAUGUUGAAAAAUUAGCGGAUGACUUGUGGCUGGGGGUGAAAGGCCAAUCAAACCGGGAGAUAGCUGGUUCUCCCCGAAAGCUAUUUAGGUAGCGCCUCGUGAAUUCAUCUCCGGGGGUAGAGCACUGUUUCGGCAAGGGGGUCAUCCCGACUUACCAACCCGAUGCAAACUGCGAAUACCGGAGAAUGUUAUCACGGGAGACACACGGCGGGUGCUAACGUCCGUCGUGAAGAGGGAAACAACCCAGACCGCCAGCUAAGGUCCCAAAGUCAUGGUUAAGUGGGAAACGAUGUGGGAAGGCCCAGACAGCCAGGAUGUUGGCUUAGAAGCAGCCAUCAUUUAAAGAAAGCGUAAUAGCUCACUGGUCGAGUCGGCCUGCGCGGAAGAUGUAACGGGGCUAAACCAUGCACCGAAGCUGCGGCAGCGACGCUGAUGCGUUGUUGGGUAGGGGAGCGUUCUGUAAGCCUGCGAAGGUGUGCUGUGAGGCAUGCUGGAGGUAUCAGAAGUGCGAAUGCUGACAUAAGUAACGAUAAAGCGGGUGAAAAGCCCGCUCGCCGGAAGACCAAGGGUUCCUGUCCAACGUUAAUCGGGGCAGGGUGAGUCGACCCCUAAGGCGAGGCCGAAAGGCGUAGUCGAUGGGAAACAGGUUAAUAUUCCUGUACUUGGUGUUACUGCGAAGGGGGGACGGAGAAGGCUAUGUUGGCCGGGCGACGGUUGUCCCGGUUUAAGCGUGUAGGCUGGUUUUCCAGGCAAAUCCGGAAAAUCAAGGCUGAGGCGUGAUGACGAGGCACUACGGUGCUGAAGCAACAAAUGCCCUGCUUCCAGGAAAAGCCUCUAAGCAUCAGGUAACAUCAAAUCGUACCCCAAACCGACACAGGUGGUCAGGUAGAGAAUACCAAGGCGCUUGAGAGAACUCGGGUGAAGGAACUAGGCAAAAUGGUGCCGUAACUUCGGGAGAAGGCACGCUGAUAUGUAGGUGAAGUCCCUUGCGGAUGGAGCUGAAAUCAGUCGAAGAUACCAGCUGGCUGCAACUGUUUAUUAAAAACACAGCACUGUGCAAACACGAAAGUGGACGUAUACGGUGUGACGCCUGCCCGGUGCCGGAAGGUUAAUUGAUGGGGUCAGCGCAAGCGAAGCUCUUGAUCGAAGCCCCGGUAAACGGCGGCCGUAACUAUAACGGUCCUAAGGUAGCGAAAUUCCUUGUCGGGUAAGUUCCGACCUGCACGAAUGGCGUAAUGAUGGCCAGGCUGUCUCCACCCGAGACUCAGUGAAAUUGAACUCGCUGUGAAGAUGCAGUGUACCCGCGGCAAGACGGAAAGACCCCGUGAACCUUUACUAUAGCUUGACACUGAACAUUGAGCCUUGAUGUGUAGGAUAGGUGGGAGGCUUUGAAGUGUGGACGCCAGUCUGCAUGGAGCCGACCUUGAAAUACCACCCUUUAAUGUUUGAUGUUCUAACGUUGACCCGUAAUCCGGGUUGCGGACAGUGUCUGGUGGGUAGUUUGACUGGGGCGGUCUCCUCCUAAAGAGUAACGGAGGAGCACGAAGGUUGGCUAAUCCUGGUCGGACAUCAGGAGGUUAGUGCAAUGGCAUAAGCCAGCUUGACUGCGAGCGUGACGGCGCGAGCAGGUGCGAAAGCAGGUCAUAGUGAUCCGGUGGUUCUGAAUGGAAGGGCCAUCGCUCAACGGAUAAAAGGUACUCCGGGGAUAACAGGCUGAUACCGCCCAAGAGUUCAUAUCGACGGCGGUGUUUGGCACCUCGAUGUCGGCUCAUCACAUCCUGGGGCUGAAGUAGGUCCCAAGGGUAUGGCUGUUCGCCAUUUAAAGUGGUACGCGAGCUGGGUUUAGAACGUCGUGAGACAGUUCGGUCCCUAUCUGCCGUGGGCGCUGGAGAACUGAGGGGGGCUGCUCCUAGUACGAGAGGACCGGAGUGGACGCAUCACUGGUGUUCGGGUUGUCAUGCCAAUGGCACUGCCCGGUAGCUAAAUGCGGAAGAGAUAAGUGCUGAAAGCAUCUAAGCACGAAACUUGCCCCGAGAUGAGUUCUCCCUGACCCUUUAAGGGUCCUGAAGGAACGUUGAAGACGACGACGUUGAUAGGCCGGGUGUGUAAGCGCAGCGAUGCGUUGAGCUAACCGGUACUAAUGAACCGUGAGGCUUAACCUUACAACGCCGAAG
rnacentral:rRNA from 1 species